rnacentral:rRNA from 1 species
UGGUUGAUCCUGCCAGUAGUCAUACGCUCGUCUCAAAGAUUAAGCCAUGCAUGUGUAAGUGUAAAUAUCAAAGUUUGGAACUGCGAAUGGCUCAUUAUAUCAGUUAUAGUUUAUUUGGUGAAGUGUACUACUUGGAUAACCGUAGUAAUUCUAGGGCUAAUACAUGAGAAAGUCCUCUGGUGAGGUGUGUUUAUUAGAAUGAAAACCAUAUGCUUCGGCAUGAUAGUGAGUAAUAGUAACCUAUCGUAUCGCAUGCUUAAUGUAGCGAUGAGUCUUUCAAGUUUCUGCCCUAUCAGCUUUCGAUGGUAGUAUAUGGGCCUACCAUGGCAGUAACGGGUAACGAAGAAUUUGGGUUCGAUUUCGGAGAGGGAGCCUGAGAGAUGGCUACCACAUCCAAGGAAGGCAGCAGGCGCGUAAAUUACCCAAUCCUG